GGGAAUAUUGGACAAUGGAGGGAACUCUGAUCCAGUGACGCCGCGUGAAGGAAGAAGGUCUUCGGAUUGUAAACUUAUUUUAUCAGGGAAGAAAAAAAUGACAGUACCUGAAGAAAAAGGACCGGCUAACUACGUGCCAGCAGCCGCGGUAAUACGUAGGGUCCAAGCGUUAUCCGGAUUUACUGGGUGUAAAGGGCGAGUAGACGGUGUUGCAAGUCAGGUGUGAAAACUUAGGGCUUAACUUUAAGACUGCAUCUGAAACUGUAAUACUAGAGUGCAGAAGAGGUAAGUGGAAUUCCUAGUGUAGCGGUGAAAUGCGUAGAUAUUAGGAGGAACACCAGUGGCGAAGGCGACUUACUGGGCUGUAACUGACGUUGAGGAGCGAAAGUGUGGGGAGCAAACAG
rnacentral:rRNA from 1 species